GCUUGUUUUGUGCAUGUAUUAAAAUUGGAAUGAUACAGAGAAAAUUAGCAUGGUCCCUGCAUAUGUAUGACAUGAAAAUUUGGGAAGUGUUCCAUAUUUUG
ensembl:snRNA U6 U6 spliceosomal RNA